AUACGGAGGGUGCGAGCGUUAAUCGGAAUUACUGGGCGUAAAGCGUACGUAGGCGGUUUGCUAAGUCAGAUGUGAAAGCCCCGGGCUUAACCUGGGAACUGCAUUUGAUACUGGCAGACUAGAGUAUGAUAGAGGGGGGUAGAAUUCCGGGUGUAGCGGUGAAAUGCGUAGAUAUCAGGAGGAAUACCAGUGGCGAAGGCGGCCCCCUGGAUCAAUACUGACGCUGAGGUAUGAAAGCGUGGGGAGCGAACAGGAUUAGAAACCCUAGUAGUCC
rnacentral:rRNA from 1 species